rnacentral:lncRNA from 1 species
UUUCAAUUUUUUAUCUAAACAUGCAAAAACAACAAAACAUUUUUUAUAAUGUAGCUGACAUUAAAAUGAUCUAUCAAUUGAUAUAUCAAUCAAUUAACAAAACUAAAACACUUUGUAAUAGCUGCUUUUGUCAAAAUUAAAGACAUUAUGUCAUGGUGAGACAUAUAUUGAUUUGGAUUCAGCAUGAGAAAGCAGGAAGUAGGAAGGUUGAACCUGGCCGGCACAAUGUCAGACAUUCUUCACACUAAUUGAGACAUCAUUAUUAAAGGAUUGAGGAAACAGAGUGUGCUACCUGGAUUGCUCCUGUUUGAUGUUGUUGAUGAUGUGGUUGUUGUUGAUGUGGAUGAUGUUGUUGUUGCUGCUGAAGGGGACAAGGAGGUUUUGGGUGGAGUUGAUGUGGAUGAUGUUGUUGUUGCUGCUGAAGGGGACAAGGAGGUUUUGGGUGGAGUUGAUGAUAGUUCUAAAAGAAAUUUCAGAAAACUAACAUUACUUGCAAGUACAUUAAUUUAACAUUUUAAAUACCAAAAUUUUUUAGGUUUAAAUAAACUAUUAAUUGUCCCAGGAGAAUAUUGUCUCUUUACUUAUUCCUUUAAAUGUUUGAUCGAUGGAAUUGCCAUCACAUAAGACGUUAAUUUGGAUUCAUCAUAGAAAAGAUGGCAAUAACAGGUAAUAUCCAUGUCAUAAACAUUAAUGGAUUGAAGAAACAUGAUAAAGUGUGCUACCUAUGUUGCUGGUGUUUGACCUUGUUAAUGGUGUAGUUGUUGCUGCUGGUAUGGAAGUAGACAGUGUUUUCUGUGAUGAUGUUUCUGAAUUGCUGGUGUUUGACCUUGUUAAUGGUGUAGUUGUUGCUGCUGGUAUGGAAGUAGACAGUGUUUUCUGUGAUGAUGUUUCUGAAAUAAAUGUCAGAAAUACAUGUUCUGUAAACUUUUCCAUUUAAAUCUAAAAUAAAAACCAUGUAAUUGGAUCAGAAAAUAUUGAGUUUCUGUAUCAAUUUUUUUUUAAACAAACAGUUUUGUUAAGUAGUAACGAAUUAAAACGACCAAUCAUCUUUUAAUCAAUUAAUGAAGCUAGAACACUUUGGAAAUGUUGCAUAAAAACAAUGUAAUGUCAUGGUGAGACAUACAUUUAUUAGGAUUCAACAUGAGAAGCAGGUAGUAGGAAGGUUGAACCUGGCCGGCACAAUGUCAGACAUUCUUCACACUAAUUGAGACAUAAUUAUUAAAGGAUUGAGGAAACAGACGUGUGCUACCUGGAUUGCUCCUGUUUGAUGUUGUUGAUGAUGUGGUUGUUGUUGAUGUGGAUGAUGUUGUUGUUGCUGCUGAAGGGGACAAGGAGGUUUUGGGUGGAGUUGAUGAUAAUUCUAAAAGAAAUUUCAGAAAACUAACAUUACUUGCAAGUACAUUAAUUUAACAUUUUAAAUACCAAAAUUUUUUAGGUUUAAAUAAACUAUUAAUUGUCCCAGGAGAAUAUUGUCUCUUUACUUAUUCCUUUAAAUGUUUGAUCGAUGGAAUUGCCAUCACAUAAGACGUUAAUUUGGAUUCAUCAUAGAAAAGAUGGCAAUAACAGGUAAUAUCCAUGUCAUAAACAUUAAUGGAUUGAAGAAACAUGAUAAAGUGUGCUACCUAUGUUGCUGGUGUUUGACCUUGUUAAUGGUGUAGUUGUUGCUGCUGGUAUGGAAGUAGACAGUGUUUUCUGUGAUGAUGUUUCUGAAAUAAAUGUCAAAAAUACAUGUUCUGUAAACUUUUCCAUUUAAAUCUAAAAUAAAAACCAUGUAAUUGGAU